rnacentral:rRNA from 1 species
GAUGAACGCUGGCGGCGUGCCUAAUACAUGCAAGUCGAGCGAACAGACGAGAGUGCUUGCACUCUCUGACGUUAGCGGCGGACGGGUGAGUAACACGUGGGUAACCUACCUAUCAGACUGGGAUAACUUCGGGAAACCGGAGCUAAUACCGGAUAAUAUUUAGCUUCGCAUGAAGCAAUAGUGAAAGACGGUUCUGCUGUCACUUAUAGAUGGACCCGCGGUGUAUUAGCUAGUUGGUGAGGUAACGGCUCACCAAGGCAACGAUACAUAGCCGACCUGAGAGGGUGAUCGGCCACACUGGGACUGAGACACGGCCCAGACUCCUACGGGAGGCAGCAGUAGGGAAUCUUCCGCAAUGGACGAAAGUCUGACGGAGCAAUGCCGCGUGAGUGAAGAAGGUUUUCGGAUCGUAAAACUCUGUUGUAAGGGAAGAACAAGUACGUUAGUAACUGAACGUACCUUGACGGUACCUUACCAGAAAGCCACGGCUAACUACGUG